rnacentral:rRNA from 1 species
ACGCUCGACACCUACGGGAGGCAGCAGUGGGGAAUAUUGGGCAAUGGGCGCAAGCCUGACCCAGCAACGCCGCGUGAGUGAUGAAGGUCUUCGGAUUGUAAAACUCUUUAAGCAGGGAAGAAGAAAGUGACGGUACCUGCAGAAUAAGCAUCGGCUAACUACGUGCCCGCAGCCGCGGUAAUCUGAGCGGGCUGGCAAGGC